UACAGAGGGGGCAAGCGUUGUUCGGAAUUCUGGGCGUAAAGGGCGCGUAGGCGGCCUUCUAAGUCGAACGUGAAAUCCCCGGGCUCAACCCGGGAACUGCGUCCGAUACUGGAAGGCUUGAAUCCGGGAGAGGGAUGCGGAAUUCCAGGUGUAGCGGUGAAAUGCGUAGAUAUCUGGAGGAACACCGGUGGCGAAGGCGGCAUCCUGGACCGGCAUUGACGCUGAGGCGCGAAAGCCAGGGGAGCAAACGGG
rnacentral:rRNA from 1 species